CCUACGGGAGGCAGCAGUGGGGAAUAUUGGGCAAUGGGCGCAAGCCUGACCCAGCAACGCCGCGUGAAGGAAGAAGGCUCUCGGGUUGUAAACUUCUUUUCUCAGGGACGAAGCAAGUGACGGUACCUGAGGAAUAAGCCACGGCUAACUACGUGCCAGCAGCCGCGGUAAUACGGGGGUUGCAGGCGUUAUCCGGGUUUACUGGGUGUAAAGGGCGGGUAGGCGGGACUGCAAGUCAGAUGUGAAAACCCUGGGCGCAACCUCGGGCCUGCCGUGGAAACUGUGGUGGUGGAGGGCUGGGGAGGCAGGCGGAAUGCCUAGUGUAGCGGUGAAAUGCGUAGAUAUUAGGAGGAACAACGGUGGCGAAGGCGGUAUGCUGGACAGUAACUGACGCUGAGGCUCGAAAGCGUGGGGAGCAAACAGGAUUAGAUACCCUUGUAGUC
rnacentral:rRNA from 1 species